AUGCACGCUGGCGGCGUGCCUCAUACAUGCACGUCGAGCGAACAGACGAGGAGCUUGCUCCUCUGACGUUAGCGGCGGACGGGUGAGUAACACGUGGAUAACCUACCUAUAAGACUGGGAUAACUUCGGGAAACCGGAGCUAAUACCGGAUAAUAUAUUGAACCGCAUGGUUCAAUAGUGAAAGACGGUUUUGCUGUCACUUAUAGAUGGAUCCGCGCCGCAUUAGCUAGUUGGUAAGGUAACGGCUUACCAAGGCGACGAUGCGUAGCCGACCUGAGAGGGUGAUCGGCCACACUGGAACUGAGACACGGUCCAGACUCCUACGGGAGGCAGCAGUAGGGAAUCUUCCGCAAUGGGCGAAAGCCUGACGGAGCAACGCCGCGUGAGUGAUGAAGGUCUUCGGAUCGUAAAACUCUGUUAUUAGGGAAGAACAAAUGUGUAAGUAACUAUGCACGUCUUGACGGUACCUAAUCAGAAAGCCACGGCUAACUACGUG
rnacentral:rRNA from 1 species